rnacentral:rRNA from 1 species
AUUGAACGCUGGCGGCAGGCCUAACACAUGCAAGUCGAGCGGCAGCGGGAAAGUAGCUUGCUACUUUUGCCGGCGAGCGGCGGACGGGUGAGUAAUGCCUGGGAAAUUGCCCAGUCGAGGGGGAUAACAGUUGGAAACGACUGCUAAUACCGCAUACGCCCUACGGGGGAAAGCAGGGGACCUUCGGGCCUUGCGCGAUUGGAUAUGCCCAGGUGGGAUUAGCUAGUUGGUGAGGUAAUGGCUCACAAAGGCGACGAUCCCUAGCUGGUCUGAGAGGAUGAUCAGCCACACUGGAACUGAGACACGGUCCAGACUCCUACGGGAGGCAGCAGUGGGGAAUAGUGCACAAUGGGGGAAACCCUGAUGCAGCCAUGCGGCGUGUGUGAAGAAGGCCUUCGGGUUGUAAAGCACUUUCAGCGAGGAGGAAAGGUUGAUGCCUAAUACGUAUCAACUGUGACGUUACUCGCAGAAGAAGCACCGGCUAACUCCGUGCCAGCAGCCGCCGUAACAC